rnacentral:rRNA from 1 species
UACGUAGGGGGCUAGCGUUGUCCGGAUUUAUUGGGCGUAAAGAGCGUGUAGGCGGCCAGGUAGGUCUGCUGUGAAAACUCGAGGCUCAACCUCGAGACGUCGGCGGAAACCAUCUGGCUAGAGUCCGGAAGAGGAGAGUGGAAUUCCUGGUGUAGCGGUGAAAUGCGCAGAUAUCAGGAAGAACACCCGUGGCGAGGGCGGCUCUCUGGGACGGUACUGACGCUGAGACGCGAAAGCGUGGGGAGCGAACAGG